UUUUCCUUAACCAUUCUCAUUUGCUUUCUUUUUCCCAGUCUUUGUUUCUUCGUGGUGCUAGCAACAGCAAGGGUUUUUGGUAGCUGUCCAAUCAGAUGAAACUUCUCAAACAGGUAGUAUCACAUGUACUACCGUAAAUUUAAAAACUGGGAUUUUCCCAACUUCCGAAAAAUAACAAGAAUGACCUCGACAUCCUUUAAUGUCACAGCUAGGACAAAAGAAAGCGACUUGAGACGAAGAUGUCAAAGAAAAAUAAUUAUAUAAAACGGUUUGUUAAUACGUAUUAAAAAUAAAAUAAAGAUAGAGCAAUCUAUUGUUUAGCAAGGAAAAAAAGGUUAUGGGAAAAAAACUAAUAAACCAGUUGAUUUAAUGAAAAAAUGUAUAGAGGCAUAAAGACUAGCAAGUCAAUAUCGAUUAAGCAAUUUUUAAACGGCACGUUCCCAAUAGCUAAUGAAAAGGCAAUUCGUGAGACUGAUAGCGAAUCUAGCCAAGACGUGUAUUGUAUAAAGAAUGCCAAGUAAUACUGCCUAUUGAGCAACUAUAUAAACGUACGAUUCAAUAAUACCUGCGCAAGGUAUAAUGAUUACGUCACCGAAAAAAAAAUGAACUAAUAGAAAAACUAACAAGAGUAAAAAAAAAAACAUUCAAGCACGUCAACAACAAAAACAGGAUUUCCUUUCUUCAUUAUAGGUUAAAUGAAUGUUCAAACAAUAGACCAUAUACGGCAUUAUACUUUUCUCCAAUCUUUUGCGCUUUCACCCGCGUCGGGUGAAAGGAAGAGCGUAAAGCGAGUUUCUUUAGGAUGUGGAUUUUUUGGGGGAAAAUCCAUACCUUAAUCGGAUAAACUUAUUCGUUUAUGCUCUUCGUGUUAAGCGAAUUCAUCGGGCUAAACCCAGAAAAAAAUCGCCGUCAGCUUAAUGUUCGACUUUUUUGUUGCCAUCUCAAACCAGUAAAAAAUAUGUGAAGCUCGGAGAAAUCACGUAGUUGCACUGAGGUCGCAAAUAAUGUUUUUCUGCUUCGUGGCUUCCGCCGCAACAAAUGCCCGUAGCGAAGGAAAAACCUCGGAGAGCAAUGCCCAUGCUAGCACAUUGUUUAAGGGUGUUCUUUGUUAUCUGGAGAGGGAGAGGAAAAACAGAAGAAAAACUAAAACCAAAAGGAGAAAAAAAAAAGUAAACGAACGAAGCUGCUAACUUUAACUUUUCCCGGAUCUGUAUGAAAUGAAACGCUACCGAACUUUAUAAAAACAAAAUUUCUGUUUUGAUAUGUAAUUCCGAUGCUUUGGAGUAUACAUAAAUACGCCAGGAAAAGACUGGAAUUAGUCUUGAAGGUUAAUAAAAGUUUGGCGAAAACCAAGGCAAAGAGAAUCCACUACGGGAGAAUUCUUCACACAAAGACAUGUAAUCGUACCAGGAACACUUUACAAAACACAGUUGCCCUGCGUGUACGACAUGACCUUCAAUGUUCAAUGUUCAUCAUGCAAUCGUAGUAGAAUUAGCUUGACGUGUGAAAAAAGCAAGCUGAAAUUGGAGUACAAUUUGGCAACAGCUCUUUACUCCAAACAGACACACGGCUAGGUACCCAAAAUCGCUUUCACUGUGCGAGACUUUCGAAAUAGCCUGUCAAUGGAAGUUUUUUACAGAAAAAGCUGAAGAAAACUCCUAUAAACGCUAUUCACAGUUGACACAAAGUGGAUGAAUGGAUGACGGUGACCCAUUUUCCUUUGAACGCAAAGUUCCAUACUGACGCAAUUGUGAAAAAGAAAAGGUAUCGUCAGAAAAAAACAAGAGGUUAUAAAACAGUUUUAAAUGAGGGCAAGGGGACAAAAACGCACGUGAACAAUGAGAGAAA